CGAUAUCUGUUUCUUUUUUUAAUUUUAUUUGAAAAACAUUGAUCUCGAUAUGUUUGGCAAAAUUCUUAGCAAAACACAGUUUCCCGAAAAAAAAAUAUAACGCUGGACGGAAUGGUGUUGUAAGCUUUCCCCUAUAUAAUGUUGCACGUUUCAAAUCAUAGAUGGCGCUUGAUUUAAAAUAAAGCCGUUUUAUGGAAAAUUAUCUAUGCGCGGAAGUUUCGUCAAGAUGGCCAAUUGGCAUACAAAAAGAAGGAUCGAGACUCUGAUCCCAGCAGGCUUGAAGAUUCUCGGCCAUUUCGUUUGCGGAGCGGUCGGUGAGCAGAACGCAUCGAAGUAGUGUUCCUCCAAAUUUUCUGAAGUGGUAGCUUAUCAGUUUCGAAUAAGUGAAUUUUAUUUGGUAUAAAGUUAAAAGGUUGUACGUUCUGCCUAGAUCGAAGUUUUUGAAGUUUGAAGUGAGCCUGUUCAACAGGCGGCGAGUCUGGGGCGGAAAGCCGUUUUUUGUAUUAGCUGGUGCGAAAGCGAGCGAGUAACGAGGUGCUGAGGUCGAGAGCCGGUACUGUGGUUUCCACGUGAGCGACGAAAAUCCGCAACGAACGGACGGGAGCUAAACCGAACGUCCGACCGACGCGCGGCGUGGCCGUCGUGUCCCGUAGCGUCCGUCACCAUACGCUACGUUUCCGGAAAUAUUUCUACCGAUCGCACGUGUCGCCAGUCUAUCGUUUUGGAACCAUCUCGCCGGUGCGCCGAUGCACUAAACCCAGCCCAGCAACAUUUCGCAGCCAGUUCAUCAUCCCACAGCAUCAUGAACCCUGCGCGCAGGUACGUGGUUAGCUUAGUGUUUGGCCAUUCACUAUAAGCGUACGCUCCGUUUGAGUGUGUCCCACAUGAACCCGGGUAGAAAGGAGAGAGAGGAUUUGAUAGAGGGAGAGAAUAGGAUAGGAAAAUGAGGAUUUCUCGAGAAUAAAAUUUGUAAAUCUUGUUUGAAGAUCUUUUACGUUUCUUUAUCACCUUACCUUUGCUCGCGAAGCGGUUUUUUGAGGUUUUCUUGCUUUCCUAAAGUUUCCGUAUUUCGAAACCAGCAUCUCCAAUCCUGCAAUUCCCCGGUCGUGAUAUUUAUAUAGAUACAAUCUAGAUAAUUCCCCAUCGAACCGUUUUUGCUUGAAUCGAGUUGGCAUCAUUUCCCGCUUAAGCAACCGUACGAAGCUUCCUAGACCAUAGAGUCCAUGCAAAAUUCCUAGUCGGGCAAUUCAACAGACAGGUGGUCUCUCCUUGGAGAGUGGCGCAUAAGCCACCUCGUUUGCCAAACCUAUCGAGUCGGGUCUACGCACGGUUACAUUUGGCGCCCAACGAAAAUAACCCAAUGUUUAAACACUUUUUAUUUGAAUUCUUAAUAUACAUCAUCUUAAAUAUUAUCGAUUUUAUGCACUACGUUUUGUUCUUCUCUUCCUUUCUUUUUAUACGUUAUUUUUUUUUUUUAAUUACAUUUUUUUACUCAUAAGUUUUUCCUAGAAUUUUAAACAUAAUUGAAUUGAAUUUUUCACUGAAGUCUAUUUUGGAAUUUAAAUUGCUAGGUUUAGGUAAUUUGUACAUAUAUUCUUUUUAUAUUAGAUUAAGUUUGAAUUUCUUCUUAUUAUUUUUUUUCUUUGAAUUUUUUUUUGUGUGCUGAAUUGGAAUCGCUGUUGGAAUUGAUUGAACUAGCUGUAUCUAUCGUUUUGAAUUUUUAUUA